UAUUUACACAGUGCUAAAGAAAUUUGAGUUUUAUUUCCAUUUUGUGGAAUUUUAUUCUGGGGUCUGGCUUUGUUGUGCAACUGACAUAGGUCAUUGAAACUUGAUUAUUCCACCUCACAUGCAAUUUUCUGCCCCAAGGGAACAGAAAACUUGGGUUUUUAGUGCACAUGCAGUAAUGAUCUUAAUACUGCUUUAGAUUUGAGUAGGAAGGCUAUCUGACAGCUUGGGGAGGAGGUGGGCAGAAUCAUCAGGAACACUCAAGUCACGUGACCACAAACUGAGGGCAUGCGGAGGAUGAGAACUGCAUUAAGGAUUUGGGCAUAUCAUUAACAUCACCCUCCAUGAGGGCGAGGCCUUGGCCCUCCUGGGGCAGGACGGUGUCCCUGGUGCAACCUGAGCUGGGCAAACU
rnacentral:lncRNA from 1 species